UGACCGGUGCGGCCAAGUUAGCCAAAG
rnacentral:sRNA from 1 species